CACACAGAGGGGAUCACUGAAACCAGUAUCCAGGUGAUAUUGUUCCAUAUACCUGAGACCAUAACAAAAGCCUAAUUACAACUCAUAUGGCUGGAGCCAGGACAUGUGCAGGAUG
rnacentral:lncRNA from 1 species